GAUGAACGCUAGCGGCGUGCCUAACACAUGCAAGUCGAACGUGAGAGGGUACUUGUAUCCUUGAAAGUGGCGGACGGGUGAGUAAGACGUAGGUGACCUGCCUCGAAGUGGGGGAUAACCAUUGGAACGAUGGCUAAUACCGCAUAAGCUGGUGAUGAUGGGAAUUGUUAUCAGGAAAGCUUUAGUUGCUUUGAGAGGGGCCUACGGCCGAUUAGCUAGUUGGUGAGGUAAAGGCUCACCAAGGCGAUGAUCGGUAGCUGGUCUGAGAGGACGAUCAGCCACACGGGAACUGAGACACGGUCCAGACUCCUACGGGAGGCAGCAGUGGGGAAUUUUGGACAAUGGGGGCGAACCCUGAUCCAGCCAUGCCGCGUGAGUGAAGAAGGCC
rnacentral:rRNA from 1 species